rnacentral:lncRNA from 1 species
CCAUCAUGAUUUUUCUUUGAUUUUAAUUUUAACUUUAAUUUUAACUUUUUAACUUUUGUUUUUUUUUUUUUAAAGCAGGUUGAACAGUCUCCUGAGAAAGUCAGUGCGUCUGCAUGGAAGGAGCAAGACAAACGCUUGGACAUGAGUCCCAGCUUUGCAGCUGCAGACCAGGACCGCUUUGUCAGGCAGCAGUUGGAUGAGACUUGAUGGGAGAAUCACCCAAGACAAGGAGUGCAAAGGGGUUUACCACUGCAGAGACAUGGGAGCACCUCAGCUAGGACAGCACUGUUUCGUUGAAUGAUGCAUGUGCUCCCAGUAACUCAGAUCAGAAAGGAGCUGUCAGAGACCUGCCUCUCUUGAAAAGCAUGUGGAUUUCAUCUACACAAGCAUAACUGCUAUUACUGUCAGUGGUAAUAUUCCCUUCUUGACACGAGCUUCUGGGCACAUUAGUCUAGAUUUAGACCUCAAUUUAUCCCAAGAAGUAGAUGCCAAGAAAAUUUUUCCCGGUAACUACUGAUAUCUGUGGCUUAUGAGAAGUGCGCUGCCACAGGAGAAGCGCUCUGAGAUUGAUCCUGACCCACUACUGUUACAUGUAUGUCCUACAAGAGCAAUGUUUGAUCUUGAUAACCACUGGAAUGU